rnacentral:rRNA from 1 species
AGGAUCAUUAUUGAAAUAAACCUGAUAAGUUGUUGCUGGUUCUCUAGGGAGCAUGUGCACACUUGUCAUCUUUGUAUCUUCACCUGUGCACAUUUUGUAGACCUGAGUAUCUCUCUGAAUGCUUUAUGGCACUCAGGAUUGAGAGUUGACUUUUUGUCUCUUCUUAUAUUCUCAGGUCUAUGUUUUUCAUAUACCCCAAUGUAUGUUUAUAGAAUGUAAUUAAUAGGCCUUUGUGCCUAUAAACCUUUACAACUUUCAGCAACGGAUCUCUUGGCUCUCGCAUCGAUGAAGAACGCAGCGAAAUGCGAUAAGUAAUGUGAAUUGCAGAAUUCAGUGAAUCAUCGAAUCUUUGAACGCACCUUGCGCUCCUUGGUAUUCCGAGGAGCAUGCCUGUUUGAGUGUCAUUAAUAAUAUCAACCUCUUUGGUUGGAUGUGGGUUUGCUGGCCUUUUUGAGGUCAGCUCCCCUUAAAUGCAUUAGCGGACAACRUUUUGCCAACUGUUCUUUGGUGUGAUAAUUAUCUACGCCAUUGAUGUGAAGCAAAGGUUCGGCUUCUAACAGUCCAUUGACUUGGACAAACUCUUUUCUUAUUAAUGUGACCUCAAAUCAGGUAGGACUACCCGCUGAACUUAA